rnacentral:rRNA from 1 species
UGGGGAAUUUUGGACAAUGGGGGCAACCCUGAUCCAGCCAUGCCGCGUGCGGGAAGAAGGCCUUCGGGUUGUAAACCGCUUUCAUACGGGAAGAAAUUGUUCUGGCUAAUACCCGGGACGGAUGACGGUACUGUAAGAAGAAGCACCGGCUAACUACGUGCCAGCAGCCGCGGUAAUACGUAGGGUGCGAGCGUUAAUCGGAAUUACUGGGCGUAAAGAGUGCGCAGGCGGUUUUUUAAGCCAGACGUGAAAUCCCCGGGCUUAACCUGGGAACUGCGUUUGGAACUGGGAGACUAGAGUGCGUCAGAGGGGGGUGGAAUUCCACGUGUAGCAGUGAAAUGCGUAGAGAUGUGGAGGAACACCGAUGGCGAAGGCAGCCCCCUGGGAUGACACUGACGCUCAUGCACGAAAGCGUGGGGAGCAAACA